CAGUCGAGCGACGGAUAAGGAGCUUGCUCCUUUGAAGUUAGCGGCGGACGGGUGAGUAACACGUGGGUAACCUACCUAUAAGACUGGAAUAACUUCGGGAAACCGGAGCUAAUGCCGGAUAACAUAUAGAACCGCAUGGUUCUAUAGUGAAAGAUGGUUUUGCUAUCACUUAUAGAUGGACCCGCGCUGUAUUAGCUAGUUGGUAAGGUAAUGGCUUACCAAGGCGACGAUACAUAGCCGACCUGAGAGGGUGAUCGGCCACACUGGAACUGAGACACGGUCCAGACUCCUACGGGAGGCAGCAGUAGGGAAUCUUCCGCAAUGGGCGAAAGCCUGACGGAGCAACGCCGCGUGAGUGAUGAAGGUUUUCGGAUCGUAAAACUCUGUUAUUAGGGAAGAACAAAUGCGUAAGUAACUGUGCGCAUCUUGACGGUACCUAAUCAGAAAGCCACGGCUAACUACGUGCCAGCAGCCGCGGUAAUACGUAGGUGGCAAGCGUUAUCCGGAAUUAUUGGGCGUAAAGCGCGCGUAGGCGGUUUCUUAAGUCUGAUGUGAAAGCCCACGGCUCAACCGUGGAGGGUCAUUGGAAACUGGGAAACUUGAGUGCAGAAGAGGAAAGUGGAAUUCCAUGUGUAGCGGUGAAAUGCGCAGAGAUAUGGAGGAACACCAGUGGCGAAGGCGACUUUCUGGUCUGUAACUGACGCUGAUGUGCGAUAGCGUGGGGAUCAAACAGGAUUAAAUACCCUGGUAGUCCACGCCGUAAACGAUGA
rnacentral:rRNA from 1 species